GACGAACGCUGGCGGCGUGCCUAAUACAUGCAAGUAGGACGCAGUUGCGAACGGGUGAGUAACGCGUAGGUAACUACCUAUUAGAGGGGGCUAACUAUUGGAAACGAUAGCUAAUACCGCAUACUAGUAGAUGUACCUGCGUUGUAUUAGCUCGUGGGUAGGGUAAUGGCUUACCUAGACAAUGAUACAUAGCCGGCCUGCAGUGGUGAACAGCCACACUGGGACUGAGAACCGGCCCAGACUCCUACGGGAGGCAGCAGUAGGGAAACUUCGGCAAUGGGGGGAACGCUGACCGGGGAACGCCGCGGGAGUGAAGAAGGGUUUCGGAUCGUAAAGCUCUUUUGUUAAGGAAGCGGUACUUAACCAGAAAGGGACGGCUAACUACGUGCCAGCAGCCGCGGUAAUAC
rnacentral:rRNA from 1 species